ACCCAACUCAUUCUCAUUCCCAUAAAGGCACAUACCCAACUCUGCAACUCAUUCAGUUCUUUGUUUCAGUUCCACUAUGACACAUUCCAUUUUUUUGCUUGGAUUUCUUAUAAUAGCAUAUUUUAGAGGUUUCCAAGCUAAAAAUGCCUUCUCACAAUAUUGGGAAGAGCAUAUUAGUCUUUCACACCCUCCAAAUUGGUUAGUUGCAAAGGCUUCUCCAUUAAACCUCCAUCAGGCAGCCUUUUUUAUGAAACUCAUGGAGGAAAAUGAAUUGGCUUUCCACUUGCCUUCAUUCUGUAAAUAGGCCAAUGUUGCUUGUUCUACAAAUUCUUUAGUGAAGAAGACAAUGGACGAUACAACCCUGCCACCAAUUGCCCAGUGGAAUGCAAUCAAAGUUGUUUAUGAAGAUCUUCCAAAUGAAACACCCUUGUCAGCUGCCAGCCAAGCGGAAUUGCCAUUUUUUCGCGAGUCAAUGGUGAAAGAGGGAGGUUUCAUGUCUAUCCCUGAUCUAAGGGACCUAAUGUCAUAUAAAUCAUUCUUACCGCGAUCUUUGGCAUCAGAAAUCCCAUUUUCCUUUGCAAAGAUUAAGGAAUUGAAGAAAAUGUUUGGUGUAGUGGAUGAAUCAAACAUGGAUGA